rnacentral:rRNA from 1 species
UCUUGGUCUUAGAUAUUUCUAAAAUGCUUUGUAGUCCCCGCGUAACACUUAUCAAUCUGCUAUGGGAAAGCARGGCWAUGGGAUUCCUUAGUAACUGCGAGUGAAGUGGAAAAAGCUCAAAUUUAAAAUCUGGUGGUCUCUUUGGCCAUCCGAGUUGUAAUCUACAGAAGUGUUAUCUGUCCUGGACCAUGUACAAGUCUCCUGGAAUGGAGCGUCAUAGAGGGUGAGAAUCCCGUCUUUGACAUGGACUACCAGGACUUUUUGUGGUGCACUUUCAAAGAGUCGAGUUGUUUGGGAAUGCAGCUCUAAAUGGGUGGUAAAUUCCAUCUAAAGCUAAAUAUUGGCAAGAGACCGAUAGUGAACAAGUACCGUGAGGGAAAGAUGAAAAGAACUUUGGAAAGAGAGUUAAACAGUACGUGAAAUUGUUGAAAGGGAAACGCUUGAAGUCAGUCAUGUCAACACAGGGGUCAACCUUGCUUAUUUGCUUGGUGCACUCUCUGAUUGACAGGUCAGCAUCAAUUUUGAUCAGUGGACAAAGAUUGAGGGAAUGUAGCAUCUUUUAAUAAGAUGUGUUAUAGCCUUUGGUUGUAUACAUUGGUUGAGAUUGAGGAAUUCAGCAUGCCGCAAGGUCAGGUUUUUUAAUAAACCAUGUUUUCAUGCUUAGGAUAGCUGGCAUAAUGGCUUUAAUCGACCCGUCUUGAAACACGGACCAAGGAGUCUAACAUGCCUGCGAGUGUUUGGGUGGAAAACCCAAGUGCAUAAUGAAAGUGAAAGUUGGGAUCCCUAUCUUGGGAGCACUGAUGCCCAGACCGGACCUUUAGUGAUGGAUCUGCGGUAGAGCAUGUAUGUUGGGACCCGAAAGAUGGUGAACUAUGCCUGAAUAGGGUGAAGCCAGAGGAAACUCUGGUGGAGGCUCGUAGCGAUUCUGACGUGCAAAUCGAUCGUCAAAUUUGGGUAUAGGGGCGAAAGACUAAUCGAACCAUCUAGUAGCUGGUUCCUGCCGAAGUUUCCCUCAGGAUAGCAGAAACUCAUAUUAGAUUUAUGUGGUAAAGCGAAUCAGCAGU